rfam:Jatropha curcas cultivar GZQX0401 scaffold251_158, whole genome shotgun sequence.
GAAAGCCGUAUUCAAUGAAAGUCGUAUGUACGGCUUGGAGGGAGGUCUUUCAUAUCUUUCAAGAUCCAGAGUAGUAUAUCCUGA